CCUACGGGUGGCAGCAGUGAGGAAUAUUGGUCAAUGGACGAGAGUCUGAACCAGCCAAGUCGCGUGAAGGAUGACUGCCCUCUGGGUUGUAAACUUCUUUUAUAUGGGAAUAAAACGUUCCACGUGUGGGAUUUUGUCUGUACCAUAUGAAUAAGGAUCGGCUAACUCUGUGCCAGCAGCCGCGGUAAUACGGAGGAUCCGAGCGUUAUCCGGAUUUAUUGGGUUUAAAGGGAGCGUAGGUGGAGUGUUAAGUCAGUUGUGAAAGUCUGCGGCUCAACCGUAAAAUUGCAGUUGAAACUGGCAGUCUUGAGUACAGUAGAGGUGGGCGGAAUUCGUGGUGUAGCGGUGAAAUGCUUAGAUAUCACGAAGAACUCCGAUUGCGAAGGCAGUUCACUGGACUGCAACUGACACUGAGGCUCGAAAGUGUGGGUAUCAAACAGGAUUAGAUACCCCGGUAGUC
rnacentral:rRNA from 1 species